GACGAACGCUGGCGGCGUGCUUAACACAUGCAAGUCGAACGGAAAGGCCCUGCUUUUGUGGGGUGCUCGAGUGGCGAACGGGUGAGUAACACGUGAGUAACCUGCCCUUGACUUUGGGAUAACUUCAGGAAACUGGGGCUAAUACCGGAUAGGAGCUCCCGCUGCAUGGUGGGGGUUGGAAAGUUUCGGCGGUUGGGGAUGGACUCGCGGCUUAUCAGCUUGUUGGUGGGGUAGUGGCUUACCAAGGCUUUGACGGGUAGCCGGCCUGAGAGGGUGACCGGCCACAUUGGGACUGAGAUGCGGCCCAGACUCCUACGGGAGGCAGCAGUGGGGAAUAUUGCACAAUGGGCGGAAGCCUGAUGCAGCAACGCCGCGUGCGGGAUGACGGCCUUCGGGUUGUAAACCGCUUUCGCCUGUGACGAAGCGUGAGUGACGGUAAUGGGUAAAGAAGCACCGGCUAACUACGUG
rnacentral:rRNA from 1 species